UUGGAGAUGCUACUGAAAAGGGCGAAGGAGGUUCAUAGGAGUUAUAUAGAAGAAAAUAUUCCGCGGAGCCUUCUUCCACUAAUAAUUUUGCUGGCAGAUGGACGGAGCAAAGAAGUCUCCAGGAACACCCUCAAAUCCUGUAUCUCCUUCAUGAACUAGGGGGAUGUCCCGAGCAACCUCUAUGACCACGAAAUAUAUGCCAGUCUCCCCAGCAUGUAUGCGAACAUCUGCUCCGUCCUUACUUUGCCUGAUGUUCAAGAGAAUUGCACGGAUGAAACUUUAUGAGGCUGGAGAUGCACAAAUCCAAUAUCCCAAGUUCCUUUUCCUUUUGUAGACCCUCGUAAAUCCUAGCAGAAAAAAGCAAGUUUGUCUGUUAGUUUGGAAUGAUAUGCAUUUAGGAAGAAAGGCAUCUGAUAAAGAAUGAUAAAACAGGCAUCACAGUAUCGUCAUGCAAAUUUACUGCUGACAUAGGAGCUUGCGGGGUCAACCUGCGUAUUUCACCCUCUCUUGCCCCUCUCUUACACUUCCAAGUUUGGGAAUCGAGCAGAAUUAUUUAGCCCUCUGUAGGUUUUAUGUUUAUGGCUUUUGGGGGGUGGGGGGUGUCUUUGUUACUUCGCCCUGCCUUUAAGUGACCUGUCGUACCUUGAACACUACCUGUACUAUGAAAUUUGGCACACUCCAUCAUUCAACAGUGAAUUGUGUUUUUUCAAAAAAUCAUUUAGAUGAAACAAAGAUACCGUGGAUAUAAGAAAACAAAACUAAUAAUAUUAGGUCAAAAACAUUUGCACUAAUUUAAGUUACAUUUGUUAUACCUGCUUUCUUAUCCAUCUAAGUCUUCCGUAUAUUUCUUCUGGUUUCCAUUUUAAAAAAGCUAAGCUGUUGUUAUUAUUCUUAUGUAAAUAAAAAUAUGUAUUAUAUG